rnacentral:rRNA from 1 species
AAAGCGUGGGGAGCAAACAGGAGGGGGCCCUGGUAGUCCACGCCGUAAACGAUGUCGACUUGGAGGAGUGAGCUUGACUCGUGGCUUCCGGAGCUAACGCGUUAAGUCGACCGCCUGGGGAGUACGGCCGCAAGGUUAAAACUCAAAUGAAUUGACGGGGGCCCGCACAAGCGGUGGAGCAUGUGGUUUAAUUCGAUGCAACGCGAAGAACCUUACCUGGUCUUGACAUCCACGGAAGACUGCAGAGAUGCGGUUGUGCCUUCGGGAACCGUGAGACAGGUGCUGCAUGGCUGUCGUCAGCUCGUGUUGUGAAAUGUUGGGUUAAGUCCCGCAACGAGCGCAACCCUUAUCCUUUGUUGCCAGCGCGUGAUGGCGGGAACUCAAAGGAGACUGCCGGUGAUAAACCGGAGGAAGGUGGGGAUGACGUCAAGUCAUCAUGGCCCUUACGACCAGGGCUACACACGUGCUACAAUGGCGCAUACAAAGAGAAGCGACCUCGCGAGAGCAAGCGGACCUCAUAAAGUGCGUCGUAGUCCGGAUCGGAGUCUGCAACUCGACUCCGUGAAGUCGGAAUCGCUAGUAAUCGUGGAUCAGAAUGCCACGGUGAAUACGUUCCCGGGCCUUGUACACACCGCCCGUCACACCAUGGGAGUGGGUUGCAAAAGAAGUAGGUAGCUUAACCUUCGGGAGGGCGCUUACCACUUUGUGAUUCAUGACUGGGGUGAAGUCGUAACAAGGUAA